rnacentral:misc_RNA from 1 species
GAUUGAUCUUUAUUCAAAUUUCAGAACAUCUUAAGAAAGCAUUAUGAUCAGAAUCAUCUGGUUUUAGGUUGAAACCAUAUUCAGAAUCAACAGGAGUUGCACAAAUUACGAUGUACACUGUCGAGGUUGAAAAUUACAGCACCUAAAUGCAUUCAUUUAAAACACAUUCACCUGGUAGGAUUGAAUUUUCUAAGUCUGCUUACAAAAGAAAAAGCCCGUAGGUCUCCCAUCAACAAAAAGACAAGUUUAUUUGUGCCUCUUUUAUAGUUGCAUACUUGCAUUAACCGCUAAGCUUGAUGGAUGAGAUAAGAAAUAGGAACCACAACUAAAUCCUCUCUACCGAAUCAGAAAUAUGUCAUCUACAACUCCCGACCAUGGGAAUAUGGGAUGAACUUCUGCUCAUUUUCUUUUCGCUAAUUGGAAACUUUUAAAAGAUGGAGUGUCAGGUUUGAAUUUUUAACUCUUGCAUUUUAAGGCAGUGAGUGUAACUUUAACUACAGCUUCAUUCAGGGAGUUUAAGUUGCUCGCGAUUCUUCCAACUCUUUAUGUAGUAGUAGAAAAAGUCAGCAAAGAGAGCAGUCUGAACAAAGCCUGAAAUCCACGCUGUUUUUGGCAUUUCCAGAAAAUUGUUUUGGUUAAUAACAUUUCUUAAAUGGGACAAUGCAGCGAAGAGGCAGAAAACUUACGUAUCCAGCGGAAAUUAAUUCCCUCUACAAAGAAUCGGUAAAUCCAAUUGACGAUAUACAAAGCUCGGUAAGCACUAUACAGGAAAUAAAAAGGAAAAUUAAAUAUUAAAAACAAUCAAAUGGAAAAACUUAAAUAAAAAACCAUAUUGAAUCCCAAUCCCAAGGUAGCAUUGCUUUGAGAAAUAACUGAUAAGUUAUCUUCAAGCUGUCAAUUUCAUCUAUGCAACUUGAAGAAAUAAUCAAAACCACAGCUUAAGGUAAAAAACUCUAAAUGCUAAAGCAUCUCAUCAUUGUGUAAUCUGCAUAGUUAAAUCAACACUUCUAUUUUCAUAAAACUACUAUCAAUCUGUUUUUAAACUUCUUCUUUUCAGAGUAACAACAUAAUCAACAGAGAAAAGCAAAAACUGCAAAGCUUUAGGAGUACUAAUAUAUACCCAAGAAGGAAAACAUAGUUGACAGUCAAGUUGUCAAUGUUCCUUGAUCGUUGUAGCAAUAACAAUUGGGGUAAGAUAGCUACUGCUUCAAGAUAAAUUGAAAAUGCCCACAAAACCUCAAUCACAUCAAAGGAACGAUGAAUCAAAAGGGCUAGCACAAAGCACAGGAGUAUCAGAAUGUAAUGUCUAAAAGUAUCUUCAUCCUUGCUAUAGGUUUGUUUCACAACUUUAUGGUAUCGCAUGUACCAGACAAUUGCAACUGAAGUCCCAAUGAAUAUUAGCUUCAUUGCAGCAUUGUAUAUAGAGUAAUACUUGGCAAACAAAUCGAGGUACCGAGUGAGAAAAACUAUAGCAUACAGUUCUUGAGUCUUCAGUGAAAUUCCUGAGAAAAAAAAAAAGUGCAAGUAGCAAUGGGAACAAGGAAGAUCCAGAAAAAUAUAACAUAAGGAAUUAUCUUUGUGACAUUUCUCUUGAAUCGAACCAACUGGGGCAAGAACUAAAAGAAAAAAAAAUGCAAAUUCUAUGUAAAAUUCAAAUUGCUCUCUCAAGGAAGUAUGAAAGAAGAAGCUGUCAAGUUGAUUGCCCAUGCUACCAAAAUUAAGGUAACUAAAAUCAUUAACUUUUCAGUCACAAGACAUGUAAAAUUCUGCUUCCAAAGAACUGAAAAAACUUAAAUUUGUCAAGUCAAACAAUUUAAAUGAUGAUUCCUUUGAAAUCAAUGGAUGAUUAAAAAAAAUAAAAUCAAACAAAGUACUAAUAUAGAAAAAGGAAAGUUGGAAUUAUAUACAGAAGAAAAUUGGGUAUUUGUUUUCUAUCAAAGCAACUCAAAGAAAAAGAGCAACACUGGCAGAUGCUGCAGCCACAAAUUCCCAAACCCAAAAGAAAGGGAAUAAUUAAGCAGCAAACAGGGAUAAAGUCAUAAACAAAAAAGGGGUAUUGCCGUAAUGGAGAAACUUCAAGUCCCAGAAAUGGCAAAAGCAAAAGUGCAAAACAAAGUAGAUAAUAAAUUGAAAAUACCAGCACAAGAUUUCAUUUUGCGGAUCUUGAGAAGAAGGACCACUAUACUGAGAAGGUGCGUCAUGUCCCCAGCUAGCCGGAACAAGUUCAUGAUGAUUGCUUUUGCGACCACUGCUCAACUAUGCUCUCUCUUUCCCCUUGCUUCUUCUGCCUUGGGCUGUCUUCUCUGUUCCCUUCUUCGUGCGUUGAUUUUUGUUCCUUUUGAGGCGCG